rnacentral:lncRNA from 1 species
UAAUGUCUUCUAAGAAAAAGAUGGUGUACCUUGAUACGAUUAGGCCAUGGGAAACAACUUGAUUGAUCGAAGCCAAAGUAAGUGAAAGUAAUCCACACCUGGAAGCAAACAAAUCCGUCUUAGAUCAUUUUCACUGACAAGAAGGUAAACUGAACAAAUACAUAGUCAUUUUAAUUCUAUUGUUUUUGAACUUUUGGAAAAGUUCAUGUCAUCAUUGAAGAACCAAAUUGUUAUCUCUGUCCUGUUCAACUUUUUCCUAAUUAUAGACUUAAUUUUUUAUUUAUAGGUCGUUUUAAUAACAAUCAAGAUUUCUUAUUUUCAAUAUUCAUUUAAAGAGUAGUACUAUAAAAAAUGCAAUCACUCAAUCAAACACACACGCAAUCAAUCUCCAACUUUCUUUUCUAACUACCAUUCUCAAUUCGAAUCCUAAUUACUUGAAUGUUGAUAUUUUAAAAUUUACCUACUUGGAAACGUAUUGCAGAAUGUCCACUGUCCCCAUGACCUUCACAUGAACAAAGCGCUGGCUCUAUUAUGACACUGCACGGCAUGCACUUCAAUUGUAUACAUUAAUACGACAACUCAGUCAAAUAUACAACAAUCUAGACUUUUAAACUAUAAUCCAAGACUUAUCUGUAUACUGGUUCGAAAGUUUGGUUUGACUUUGCUUCAUCAUCAUACAGCAUAUAGACUCUCUUCUGUAAAAUUAAGAGAAAACAUUAGUCAACAGUUUAGAUUUUACAAAUACUAAAUAUAAUAUAGUCACUGUAUGCGUUGAAAUUUAUGUCAUCUAAUAAAAACUUAUCUUUUUCUCAGGUUUGAGGUUUUUGUGAUUAAGGUUAGAGUCACAUUAAUAAAGUUCUGCCACUAUUCUCUGCCACUGCAAGACCUGCACAUGAAUCGUAAACAUUAAUAAGGCAACAAAUAAAAUUCUAGAACAUCCUAGAAAUUAACUAGGGUAUAAGACAACUCAAUAACCCUUUAGUCCGAGACUUAUCUGUGUACUGUAAGGAUUUGGUUCGACUGUGCCUCAUGUCCUUCAGCAUCAUACAGUGUAUUUUCUUCUGAAAAAUUAAGAAAAAAAAAAUCUAUUAUACAGAGUGAAAGAGCUACAUAUAUAAUCUUAAUAUCGUCAAACAUGCAAAACAUUUAGAAAAACAUUAUAAAGAGUUAGAUAUGGGAGAUAUACCUGCCCUUGAUCGGUGAUUGUUUAGAACCAGAAAGAAAUCACCAUUGCGACAUUCAAAAUUUCAAAGAAAAUGGUAAAAAGGGUUAGACUCUAUUUUUAUUUAGUGAUUAAUCGAGUAAGAUAAAUGAUGAAACUUUAUUUACCUGAAGUAAUAGGAAAAUCUGGAUCGAGGUCUCCAAGCUUGGUUUGUAUUGAGAGACAGGAAUAAACAGAUCUAUCAUCGGAUCAUACAUGCAACAUUAUCUGAACCGAUCAGAGAGAGAAAGACACUUGAAGAGAAUUUU